AGAGCCACUGAGUGCACAGACCGGUGUUGGUCUCGGCUCUGAGCCUCGGAGUUGUAAGGUUUCCACACGACUGGCAAGUGAAAGGUCACCGUCCCAACCAACCAAGCGGUCUAGCAGGAGGACUUCCCUUUCUUCUAGUCCUGGGGCAUAGCAGGACCUUGGGGGAACUCAUCUGGAGGAAACAGCUACAGAGAAGCAUCGGCAGUGGGCUGAGCGAAGGAGUCUCAGAGCCUUCCCUGACCACCAGCCAUGUGAGGCUACCGAGUCCUUGAACUGUGGUUGUUGAGAUGUGCCUGGAGUUGAAACACACCGGACUUCUAAGACUCAGUACAAUGUAAUGUAAAGUAGUUUGUUUGUUUGUUUUGUUUUUCAAGACAACUUUCUCUGUUUAGCCCUGGCUAUUCUGGAUCUCACUCUAUAGACCAGGCUGGCCUUGAACUCAUCUGCGUGUGCCACCACUGUAAAUUACUGACAACUAUUUAACAUUUAUUGAAUGGGCUGGUUUUUUUUUUUUCAAUGUGAUAUAAACCAGAGUUACCUAGGAAGAAGAAACCUCAUCAGAGAAUUGUAUCCAUCAUAUAGGCUCACAGAUAUGCCUAUGGGGACGUUUACAAAAUAAUGAUAGAUGUGGGAGGGCCCAGCCCACUAUGGAUGGUGCCAGCGCUGGGCAUCAGGCCAGUGAGCAACAGUGAUUGCUCCCUCUGCUCUCUCAUGAGUUCUAUCCCCGAAGCCUCUCAAUGAAGGACUGUGGCAUGGAUGUGUAAGCCAAACGAACCCUUCCUCCUCACAUUGCUUUUGGUCAGGGUUUUUCACAGCAUCAGAAUAGUCACUAUAUAUUUAACUGAUUUAUCAAUACAUGUAUAUGUUAGAUAUGUUACACUCAAUAAAGUAUACUCCAAAACUAAA
rnacentral:lncRNA from 1 species